CCUUGGAGUGGGGAAUAACAGCUGGAAACAGCUGCUAAUACCGCAUAAUAUAUCUGGGUCGCAUGGCUCUGGAUAUCAAAGAUUUAUCGCUCUGAGAUGGACUCGCGUCUGAUUAGCUGGUUGGCGGGGUAACGGCCCACCAAGGCGACGAUCAGUAGCCGGACUGAGAGGUUGGCCGGCCACAUUGGGACUGAGACACGGCCCAGACUCCUACGGAAGGCAGCAG
rnacentral:rRNA from 1 species